UACGGAGGGGGCUAGCGUUGUUCGGAAUUACUGGGCGUAAAGCGCACGUAGGCGGCUUUGUAAGUUAGAGGUGAAAGCCCAGGGCUCAACCCCUGGAAUUGCCUUUAAGACUGCAUCGCUUGAACAUCGGAGAGGUAAGUGGAAUUCCGAGUGUAGAGGUGAAAUUCGUAGAUAUUCGGAAGAACACCAGUGGCGAAGGCGACUUACUGGACGAUUGUUGACGCUGAGGUGCGAAAGCGUGGGGAGCAAACAGG
rnacentral:rRNA from 1 species